GACGAACGCUGGCGGCGUGCCUAAUACAUGCAAGUUGAGCGCUGAAGGUUGGUACUUGUUCCAACUGGAUUAGCAGCGAACGGGUGAGUAACGCGUGGGUAAUCUGCCUUUGAGCGGGGGACAACAUUUGGAAACGAAUGCUAAUACCGCAUAAAAACUUUAAACACAAGUUUUAAUUUUGAAAGAUGCAAUUGCAUCACUCAAAAAUGAUCCCGCGUUGUAUUAGCUAGUUGGUGAGGUAAAGGCUCACCAAGGCGAUGAUACAUAGCCGACCUGAGAGGGUGAUCGGACAAAUUUGGAAUGAGACAAGGCCCAAAAUCCUAAGGGAGGCAGCAGUAGGGAAUCUUCGGCCAUGGACGAAAGUCUGAACGAGCAAACCCGCGUGAGGGAAGAAGGUUUUCGGAUCGUAAAACUCUGUUGGUAGAGAAGAACGUUGGUGAGAGUGGAAAGCUCAUCAAGUGACGGUAACUACCCAGAAAGGGACGGCUAACUACGUG
rnacentral:rRNA from 1 species